rnacentral:lncRNA from 1 species
GAAACCUCGACCUGUCUCCCAGUUGGUUGCACAGCAGGUUACUCAGCAGUUUGUGCCUCCUACACAGUCAAAGAAAGAGAAAAAAGAUAAAGUAGAAAAAGAAAAAAGUGAAAAGGAAACAACUAGCAAAAAGAAUAGCCAUAAGAAAACCAGGCCAAGAUUGAAAAAUGUGGAUCGGAGUAGUGCUCAGCAUUUGGAAGUUACUGUUGGAGAUCUGACAGUCAUUAUUACAGACUUUAAGGAGAAAACAAAGUCACCGCCUGCAUCUAGUGCUGCUUCUGCAGAUCAACACAGUCAAAGCGGCUCUAGCUCUGAUAACACAGAGAGAGGAAUGUCCAGGUCAUCUUCACCCAGAGGAGAAGCCUCAUCAUUGAAUGGAGAAUCUCAUUAAAGUUUAUUUUCUCCAAUUUCUUAGUCACUUCUGUCCUACCAUGCAAAUACACAGAUUAUGCCAAGAGGUACCACAUUUUCAUGACAGAUACAUUCAUGCACAAUCCAUAAUUUGAGUUUUACAUAAAAUAGAAAUUUGUUAGAAUUUGUUAGAUUUUAUUGCAAUGAUGCCUACCAAACAUUUCCAGACUUAACAUUUUGGUCUCUGCAGUUAAGUGCCAUGAAAAUGUGGUUGAAUUAUUCAUUAUGCAGUGUUAUUGGUAAGUGUAUUUUCACUUUUAGUUUAGUGAAUUCUAACACAUAAUUCUUGAAUUCUCUACUAUUGGCAUGUAACGAAUUUAAAUUUUUUAUAACAUAGUGCAAGCUGCCUAAAUAUGUAUUAUUUGAGAAUUGUGAAACAGAUAGUUAUAUGUAUACAAGUCAAAGAACAACUUAACUAUUGCUGCAACAGGUUUUUCUUAAUGGUUAUCCUCUUAAAUACACCUGCUGGUACUUGGUGUGGUUAAAUAGGAAAAUUGUUAUUAAAUAAAGAAUUUGUAUGAACCUUU